rnacentral:sRNA from 1 species
GCUAAGCUAUCCCUCGCUGCUAAGCUAUCGCCGCUGCCAACCUAUCUAUUGCUGCAAGCUAUCCCUCGCUGCUAAGCUAUCCCUCGCUGCUAAGCUAUCGCCGCUGCCAACCUAUCUAUUGCUGCAAGCUAUCCCUCGCUGCUAAGCUAUCGCUGCCAACCUAUCUAUCGCUGCCAACCUAUCACCGCUGCCAAUCUAUCGCCGCUGCCAACCUAUCUAUUGCUGCAAGCUAUCCCUCGCUGCUAAGCUAUCGCUGCCAACCUAUCUAUCGCUGCCAACCUAUCACCGCUGCCAAUCUAUCGCCGCUGCCAACCUAUCUAUUGCUGCAAGCUAUCCCUCGCUGCUAAGCUAUCACUGCCAACCUAUCUAUCGCUGCCAACCUAUCUAUCGCUGCCAAUUUAUCUACCACUGCCAAUCUAUCUAUUGCUGCUAAUCUAUUGCUGCUGCCAAUCUAUCUAUCACUGCUAAUCUAUCGCUGCCAACCUAUCUAUCGCUGCCAAUUUAUCUACCACUGCCAAUCUAUCUAUUGCUGCUAAUCUAUUGCUGCUGCCAAUCUAUCUAUCACUGCUAAUCUAUUGCUGCUAAUCUAUCACUGCUAAUCUAUCGCUGCUAAUCUAUCGCUGCUAAUCUAUCGCUGCCAACCUAUCUACCGCGGCGAAUCUAUCUAUCACUAUCAUUACUAGUUCAAAAUAGAACUAGAGCAUAAAUACACUAAACUUCUUUUGAUAGGUAAUGAUUUUUGGUAACACUCAUAGCAUUAUAUCAUCUAUAUAGGGUAAAUCAUGGUCCCAUUUGGUCCCAUUUUAACAAAAUGGGACCAAAUGGGACCAGAAUCAGUAAUUUAUAAGAAGAACAUGACCUGGGACUAGAUUUAUAAUAUAAACAGUGUAAAGUGACUAAUUUAAUAAACACUAUAUGGGACCAGGACUAAGAAAUUUGAUAAUGGGACUGG